GUCUGAUGGAGCACGCCGCGUGAGUCUGAAGAAGAGUGUUUCGGAUCGUAAAGCUCUGUUAUUGGUGAAGAAAGAUAGAGGUAGUAACUGGUCUUGUAUUUGACGGUAUUCAACCAGAAAGCCACGGCUAACUACGUGCCAGCAGCCGCGGUAAUACGUAGGUGGCAAGCGUUGUCCGGAUUUAUUGGGCGUAAAGCGAGUGCAGGCGGUUUAUUAAGUCUAAUGUGAAAGCCUUCGGCUUAACCGGAGAAUUGCAUCGGAAACUGUUGAACUUGAGUGCAGAAGAGGAAAGUGGAACUC
rnacentral:rRNA from 1 species